rnacentral:rRNA from 1 species
AUUGAACGCUGGCGGCAGGCCUAACACAUGCAAGUCGAGCGGGGUUUUCGGACCUAGCGGCGGACGGGUGAGUAAUGCGUAGGAAGCUGCCCGAUAGAGGGGGAUACCAGUUGGAAACGACUGUUAAUACCGCAUAAUGUCUACGGACCAAAGUGUGGGACCUUCGGGCCACAUGCUAUCGGAUGCGCCUACGUGGGAUUAGCUAGUUGGUGAGGUAAUGGCUCACCAAGGCGACGAUCUCUAGCUGGUUUGAGAGGAUGAUCAGCCACACUGGAACGGAGACACGGACGAGACUCCUACGGGAGGCAGCAGUGGGGAAUAUUGGACAAUGGGCGCAAGCCUGAUCCAGCCAUGCCGCGUGUGUGAAGAAGGCCUUCGGGUUGUAAAGCACUUUCAGCGAGGAGGAAGGGUGGUGUGUUAAUAGCACAUCAUUUUGACGUUACUCGCAGAAGAAGCACCGGCUAACUCUGUGCCAGCCGCCGCGGUAACAC